AGACUUGGCCGACGUGGGUCGAAGUGUAAUACCUGUUCUUAUCAGCUUAAUAUCUGACACGGCCUAUAUUUGGACCCAAGAUAUUAAACUUAUUUUUGCAAGUUGGCGGAGUGCCUGAAGCCUGCUUCACCGCCGCCGCGGAUCGGCCCGGUAUUGCACUAUCUUCGGAAUUUUUGGUCUACGGACA